GUUAUUUGAAGUGGACAAUAGUGCCAUCCACACACAUUUAAAAGGGUAAAAGAGAUGCAGGACUUGGCACACCUGCCAAAUAUC
rnacentral:ncRNA from 1 species